rnacentral:lncRNA from 1 species
CAAGAGUGGGCUCAUGCAAAAUUUCAAUCCAUUUAGAGGCCAAGAAGCAUGGUAAUGAAAAAUCAUGAAGUUGGACAUCAAUGGUGUGACACAACUUGUCACACCCUAGUUCAAAAAAUCAUAUCUCACAAACCACAAAUGAUAAAUGCACAAACUCUAUACCAAAAUCACCAUGAAUGUGUCUAGUUUAAGCACAAAAAAUUUGAGAGCCAUUGGAUAAAG